AACGAACGCUGGCGGCAGGCCUAACACAUGCAAGUCGAGCGAAGCCUUCGGGCUUAGCGGCGGACGGGUGAGUAACGCGUGGGAACGUGCCCUUUGCUACGGAAUAGCCCCGGGAAACUGGGAGUAAUACCGUAUGUGCCCUUCGGGGGAAAGAUUUAUCGGCAAAGGAUCGGCCCGCGUUGGAUUAGGUAGUUGGUGGGGUAAUGGCCUACCAAGCCGACGAUCCAUAGCUGGUUUGAGAGGAUGAUCAGCCACACUGGGACUGAGACACGGCCCAGACUCCUACGGGAGGCAGCAGUGGGGAAUCUUAGACAAUGGGCGCAAGCCUGAUCUAGCCAUGCCGCGUGAUCGAUGAAGGCCUUAGGGUUGUAAAGAUCUUUCAGGUGGGAAGAUAAUGACUGUACCACCAGAAGAAGCCCCGGCUAACUCCGUGCCAGCAGCCGCGGUAA
rnacentral:rRNA from 1 species